rnacentral:rRNA from 1 species
GAGUUUGAUCCUGGGCUCAGGAUGAACGCUAGCUACAGGCUUAACACAUGCAAGUCGAGGGGAAACGACAUCGAAAGCUUGCUUUUGAUGGGCGUCGACCGGCGCACGGGUGAGUAACGCGUAUCCAACCUGCCCACCACUUGGGGAUAACCUUGCGAAAGUAAGACUAAUACCCAAUGACGUCUCUAGAAGACAUCUGAAAGAGAUUAAAGAUUUAUCGGUGAUGGAUGGGGAUGCGUCUGAUUAGCUUGUUGGCGGGGUAACGGCCACAAGGCGACGAUCAGUAGGGGUUCUGAGAGGAAGGUCCCCCANAUUGGAACUGAGACACGGUCCAAACUCUACGGGAGGCA